rnacentral:rRNA from 1 species
AAUACCACCCUUUAAUGUUUGAUGUUCUAACGUGGACCCGUAAUCCGGGUUGCGGACAGUGUCUGGUGGGUAGUUUGACUGGGGCGGUCUCCUCCUAAAGAGUAACGGAGGAGCACGAAGGUUGGCUAAUCCUGGUCGGACAUCAGGAGGUUAGUGCAAUGGCAUAAGCCAGCUUGACUGCGAGCGUGACGGCGCGAGCAGGUGCGAAAGCAGGUCAUAGUGAUCCGGUGGUUCUGAAUGGAAGGGCCAUCGCUCAACGGAUAAAAGGUACUCCGGGGAUAACAGGCUGAUACCGCCCAAGAGUUCAUAUCGACGGCGGUGUUUGGCACCUCGAUGUCGGCUCAUCACAUCCUGGGGCUGAAGUAGGUCCCAAGGGUAUGGCUGUUCGCCAUUUAAAGUGGUACGCGAGCUGGGUUUAGAACGUCGUGAGACAGUUCGGUCCCUAUCUGCCGUGGGCGCUGGAGAACUGAGGGGGGCUGCUCCUAGUACGAGAGGACCGGAGUGGACGCAUCACUGGUGUUCGGGUUGUCAUGCCAAUGGCACUGCCCGGUAGCUAAAUGCGGAAGAGAUAAGUGCUGAAAGCAUCUAAGCACGAAACUUGCCCCGAGAUGAGUUCUCCCUGACUCCUUGAGAGUCCUGAAGGAACGUUGAAGACGACGACGUUGAUAGG